CAGUCGCCACGGGAAUACAGAGGGUGCAAGCGUUAAUCGGAAUUACUGGGCGUAAAGCGCGCGUAGGUGGUUUGUUAAGUUGGAUGUGAAAUCCCCGGGCUCAACCUGGGAACUGCAUCCAAAACUGGCAAGCUAGAGUAUGGUAGAGGGUGGUGGAAUUUCCUGUGUAGCGGUGAAAUGCGUAGAUAUAGGAAGGAACACCAGUGGCAAAGGCGACCACCUGGACUGAUACUGACACUGAGGUGCGAAAGCGUGGGGAGCAAACAGGAUUAGAUACCCGAGUAGUCCCUGUCUCUUAUAC
rnacentral:rRNA from 1 species